CAUGAUUAGGACACAAUCAUGGGCAUUAAUGAAUGCUUAUGACAGAUGUCAUUUGACAAAUUAUGUCACCAACACUCCAAUGAGUCCAACUUGGAUCUUUUACAUCUAUUGAAAAGUGAGAUAAUUUGCCGAAUGACACAAAAUGACAUUUGUCAAAAAGCAUUAACCCCUUAACGCCGAAUGUCGCGAUUCGGCAUCAUACCGUUCCCGCUUUGAAAGCGGCCAAAAUAUCGUCUGCCUUUGUUCACUGCCGGUACAUUAAUGUCAAACACAUGCCUAGGAACCUUUUUCAAGCAUUAGUUUCAGUCGUGUCCAACCAGAGACAACACCGCUUCCUUUUCCGGACCGUGAUAUUCAAGAUGAAAGCCACGUCGAAGUCCUGCGCACCAACUUGACUAAUUCAUUCAAUUCAAGAAAUACAAAUGAAUGCAGCAGCUUUUUACGCAAAGCUAGCACACCGGGCCAAACCACCUCCUGUUGAGAGUGCUCUCAGUGAGAGUGAGGGCAGCGAUGAGGAGUACAAUCCUAAUAAAGCAAGUGAAGGUGAUGAACGCAGCAGCAAUGACUCUACAGUGGACAUUAGCAGCAGUGAGGAAGAUGAUGAUGAUCCGCCUCAUCCACCUCCAACCACCAGUGCUGCACCUGCAAGAUCUGCAAGAGCUACAUCAAGGGCAGAUCGAGCCUAAAGCAAUAUAUCCAAAAAAAAGCCAUACAAAUUGGGAUACAAGAUUUUUGUACUGUGCGACACAAGAGGUCUGGUGCACUCAUUUGACAUAUUCACAGGGAAAAUAGAUCCGGUACCAGGCCAACCAGACAUAGGAGCCAGUGGUAACAUUGUGCUGAAGCUUGCACAAGUCAUUCAUCCUGCUCUACUUUGAUAACUGGUUCUCAUCUGUAGAUCUGUUUGUUGCUCUUGCAAAAAAGGGCAUACCUGCACUUGGGACCGUGCAGCACAAUCGCCUGCGUGGGUGCUGUUUCAGUGCAGACUCAUAGAUGAAGAAGAAGCGAAGAGGGACAUUUGAAGAGCAAGAGGCUCUUGUGGACAAUGUCUGCAUAAGAGCAGUCAAAUGGUUUGACAAUAGAGGGGUGAUUGUUGCCAGCACAUUUGCCAGUGCCCUGCCUGUUAUGAUAAAAAUCAUCUUUUAUUUAUUUAUUUACAUCAUAUGUCUUCUAGUCUGAUUAAAAAUGUGAUGUACAUCUGUGUUUAAACAAAAACAAUAAUUGUUUUUCAGAAUUUCACAAGCAGUGAAAAAAGAUGUUGCGAUAAAAGUGUGUUCAGACCUGAGAUGGGUAUGUGCCUUUUUUGCCAUUUGUUUUCCUUUAUUGCCUGUUGUCGCUAAUCGGCAUCAUACCUAAAUGUAUGACUAUUUUAUGGGCUAUAUUCAAAUUAACACUUUCAAUUUAAUUUAGCAUCUAUUUGAAAGUAAAAACACACCCCAAUU